rnacentral:rRNA from 1 species
GAAAGUAAACAAGGGCGCAUGGAGGAUGCCUAGGCUCUCGGAGGCGAAGAAGGACGUGAUAAGCUGCGAAAAGUUACGGUAAGGCGCAAAUAGCCCUAGACCCGUAAAUAUCCGAAUGGGGCAACCCGGCCAGCAAUGGUCAUACCGCCAAGCGGUAAGCCAACGCGGGGAACUGAAACAUCUAAGUACCCGCAGGAAAAGAAAAUAACAAUGAUUCCGCCAGUAGUGGCGAGCGAACGCGGAACAGCCCAAACCACUCGUGUUACGGCACGAGUGGGGUAGAAGGAUCCACGCCACGGCAAGAAAUAAGUUAGCAGAAUACGAUGGAAAUCGUAGCCAAAGACGGUGACAGCCCAGUACGCGAAAACCGACAGAAGCCCAGUGGACACCUGAGUAACCCAGGACACGAGAAAUCCGGGGCGAAUCAGCGGGGCCCAUCCCGUAAGGCUAAAUACUCCCGAGAGACCGAUAGCGAACCAGUACUGUGAAGGAAAGGUGAAAAGAACCUCGAACAGAGGAGUGAAACAGACCCUGAAACCAUGCGCCUACAAGCGGUCGGAGCAUGUUAAAAUGUGACGGCGUGCCUUUUGCAUAAUGAACCUACGAGUUACUCUCGCUGGCAAGGUUAAGCGAUUCAGUCGCGCAGCCGAAGCGAAAGCAAGUCCGAAUAAGGCGUACAGUCAGCGGGAGUAGACGCGAAACCAAGUGAUCUACCCUUGGUCAGGUUGAAGGUUGGGUAACACCAACUGGAGGACCGCACCGAUAAGCGUUGAAAAGCUUACGGAUGAACUGAGGGUAGGAGUGAAAGGCCAAUCAAACUUGGAGAUAGCUCGUACUCCCCGAAAUGCAUUUAGGUGCAGCCUCGAAGCAGAGUGAUAGAGGUAGAGCGACUGAUAAGAUGCGAGGGCUUCACCGCCUAUCAAGUCUUGACAAACUCCGAAUACUAUCACUUGAUCUUUGGGAGUGAGGGCAUGGGUGCUAAGGUCCAUGUCCGAAAGAGGAACAACUCAGACCACCAGCUAAGGUCCCGAAAUAAGGGCUAAGUUGAAUAAACGAAGUAAAACUGCAAAGACAGCUAGGAUGUUGGCUUGGAAGCAGCCAUUCAUUUAAAGAGUGCGUAACAGCUCACUAGUCGAGGAGUUUUGCAUGGAUAAUAAUCGGGCAUAAGCCCUUUACCGAAGCUGUGGAUGUCGUAAGACAUGGUAGGGGAGCAUUCCGGCGGCGACGAAGGCCGUCCUCGAGGACGACUGGAGCUUUCGGAAAAGCAAAUGUAGGUAUAAGUAACGAUAAAGGGGGCGCGAAACCCCCUCGCCAUAAGACUAAGGAUUCCUGAUCAACGCUAAUCGGAUCAGGGUAAGUCGGGCCCUAAGGCGCAGCCGAACGGCGUAGCCGAUGGAAGAAACGGUAAAGAUUCCGUUACUGGAUAUAGGAGCGAUGUGGAGACGGAGAAGUGACACACCCGCCUGCCGACGGAAGCGCAGGUUAAAGGAAGUAGGUAAACGCCGGGUAGGCAAAUCCGCCUGGCGUGCCGAAACUGACAGUAUCGAGAGCCCCCGGGCAAUCGAAUAGCGGUGGUAAUCAGGCUCCCAAGAAAAUCCGCUAAGCAUAUUCUAUAUCCACCCGUACCCCAAACGGACACACGUAGUCGGGUAGAAUAUACCAAGGCGCUCGAAAGACUCACGGUUAAGGAACUAGGCAAAUUGACCCUGUAACCUCGGGAAAAAGGGUCCCCAGUAAGAUGGGGCGCAGAGAAUAGGUCCAGGCAACUGUUUAACAAAAACACAGGGCUGUGCAAAAUUUCAAGAUGAAGUAUACAGCCUGACACCUGCCCGGUGCCGGAAGGUUAAGAGGAGAGCUAAUCGCAAGAGAAGGCUUGAAUUGAAGCCCCGGUAAACGGCGGCCGUAACUAUAACGGUCCUAAGGUAGCGAAAUUCCUUGUCGGGUAAGUUCCGACCUGCACGAAUGGUGUAAUGAUCUGGACACUGUCUCAACCGUGACUUCGGUGAAAUUGUAGUAUCGGUGAAGAUGCCGAUUACCCGCAACGGGACGAAAAGACCCCGUGAACCUUUACUGCAACUUAGCAUUGCGUUUGGGCAUUUGAUGUGUAGGAUAGUCCGGAGGCUACGAGUCGGCGACGCCAGUCGUCGAGGAGCCGCUGUUGAAAUACGGACCUUCGAAUGUUUGAGCGCUAACUCGCAGGAGCGAGGACACUGUUUGGUGGGUAGUUUGACUGGGG